UUUUCUAAGGAUUGAUGCUUAACACAAGUUCUAAUACGUAGGUAACUCGACUAAGGCUUCUUGGCGAUCAGUUGCAGUUCCUACGACCUCCUUGGCUUCCGGUGAUGUUCUUCCUUGUUUCAUUAGUGUCUAUCUUUCCUAGUACAGCUCUAACUGCUUGCUUAAGAUUUUCCGUGACGUAUUGGGUGUGACGAGCACAAUUUGAUCUGAAUGCAAUGACAGUAAAAGCAAGGUAUCCUCUGUAAUCUCUUUUGUCAAUGUUAAUCUCAUUUAACACACCAAUUGGAAAUAGUCUCCGUAGCUUAUUGAAUGCCUACCUAAGGAGAGCUUUGAAUCGUUUUCUUAUUUAAUUAUGUACUCUAUGUAGCUAAUUGUCAAAUCAUUAUUUAGUGCACCAUUACUUCUGCUUUGUGUUAAAUGGUUUUGCUAUGUGAUAAAUGGUUGUACUCUAUGAUAAAUGGUUGGUCUUGUGUCAUUAGGUAAAAACUUAUUAGGCCCAUUGAUUGCUAGUUAUGUGACCUUUAACCAUAAACUCCAAUUGCACCAUUGAGUGCUAGUCACUAGGUUUUGCUCUUCCUUCUCCUUUAAAUACAAACCAUAAACAUACACAAUUAUUUCAAAUGAACAAAUACAUAAUACUUUUUGGUCUCGUAUUGCAUUUUAUUAUGGUGCAAGUACUAAGCUUGCUGGUUUCGAGAAAAGAGAGCCCAAGCACUGCAAACAAAGGUGGCAAAAGAUCAACGAGAUGGUCUGCAAGUUUGUUGGAAGCUAUGAGGCUGUAACAAAAGAGAAAUCCAGUGGCCAGGAUGAGGAUGAUGUGAUUAAAUUAGCUUACGAGAUAUUCUUCAAUGAUUACAAGGUGAAGUUCACCCUUGAGCAUGCUUGGAGGGAGCUUCGCCAUGAUCAAAAAUGGUGUGGAGCUUAUACUACGAAAGUUAUUGGAGCUUCAAAGAGAAGAAAGUUUGAUGAUCAUCCCUCACAGUCAUCAACCUCAGUUCCAAAAAAUGUGGAAGAAGAAGGUCGUCCUUUAGGUUUUAAGGCAGCAAAGGCCAAAGGUAAAAGGGCUGUGAGCAGGCCAAAGACUGUGGAAGAAGAAGGUGCUUCGCUGAUGAGUUUCAGAGCAUGUGGGAGAUAAGGCAAAAGGAAUUUAGUUUGAAAGAGAAGCAAAAAAUGCAUAAAAUGCUUGACCGUCUCCUUGCUAAAACAGAUCCGCUUACAAAAAUGGAGAUUGCUUUAAAUAAUAGGCUAAUUAGUGACAAGUUGUCAAGUUAGUUUGAGUUUCAGUUUAUGUUUAUGUUGUCUGCUUCUAUGUUGUCUCUUUCAGUUCUGUUUUAUGUUAUGAGUUCGAAGUUGUAUGUCUGUAUUAUGCUAUGAAUUUGUUGGUUCUGUGCAGUGUUAUGUUUAAUUGUUAACAGUUUGAGUUGGAGUUUUUGUAUGAGGUUGAUGUUUGGAUGAUGUUUGGGUUUUGGCGGGUGUAACAGGUAAAAGCAUGCGGCGAACAUACGACAGUUGGUCCUCUAUUAGGUCAUGUUUACCGAAGAUCAAUUGGUAAUCAAUUGGUCACAAACGUAGAAUAAGAAGAGAAGAAGAAGAAGAAUACAAGAAGAAUAAGACAAGAGGAAUCAAAAGCCAGCCACAAGUUUUGUGAGUUAACACAUGGUCACGGACGUAGAAGAAGAAGAAAAGAUGAAGAAAAAGCCAGCGACAAGUUUUUGUACCAUAUGUACUUUGUAUGCUAGGAACCACAUGUGUAGCAAGCAAUGUACACAACAAAAUUCUUAUAGAUUUGUAUCACCACAAGCUCUUCUAUAUAA